UUCUUCUUCUCAGUACUUCAUCUUUGUGC
rnacentral:piRNA from 1 species